rnacentral:tRNA from 3 species
GAUAAAGUGUCCGAUAUUUUAGGUUGUAAAUUGUAAAUUUAUAUAAGAAUUGAUAAUUCCUUUAUCA